rnacentral:rRNA from 6 species
CUCCUAGUACGAGAGGACCGGAGUGGACGCAUCACUGGUGUUCGGGUUGUCAUGCCAAUGGCACUGCCCGGUAGCUAAAUGCGGAAGAGAUAAGUGCUGAAAGCAUCUAAGCACGAAACUUGCCCCGAGAUGAGUUCUCCCUGAGACUUAGAGUCUCCUGAAGGAACGUUGAAGACGACGACGUUGAUAGGCCGGGUGUGUAAGCGCAGCGAUGCGUUGAGCUAACCGGUACUAAUGAACCGUGAGGCUUAACCUUACAACGCCGAAG